rnacentral:misc_RNA from 1 species
AUGAAAUUCAAGGAUGCUCUUUUUAGAGGUCCGACCAAUAUCAUUUUCCAACACUGUGAACUCACUACUCUUUUUACACCCAUUUUUAAAACACAAAAGUCUAUAAGAAUGUAAAAGUCUCUUAAUUGAGCAUAAAGUUAUAAUA